UGGGGAAUAUUGGACAAUGGGCGGAAGCCUGAUGCAGCAACGCCGCGUGCGGGAUGACGGCCUUCGGGUUGUAAACCGCUUUCGCCUGUGACGAAGCGUGAGUGACGGUAAUGGGUAAAGAAGCACCGGCUAACUACGUGCCAGCAGCCGCGGUGAUACGUAGGGUGCGAGCGUUGUCCGGAUUUAUUGGGCGUAAAGGGCUCGUAGGUGGUUGAUCGCGUCGGAAGUGUAAUCUUGGGGCUUAACCCUGAGCGUGCUUUCGAUACGGGUUGACUUGAGGAAGGUAGGGGAGAAUGGAAUUCCUGGUGGAGCGGUGGAAUGCGCAGAUAUCAGGAGGAACACCAGUGGCGAAGGCGGUUCUCUGGGCCUUUCCUGACGCUGAGGAGCGAAAGCGUGGGGAGCGAACA
rnacentral:rRNA from 1 species